rnacentral:rRNA from 1 species
UACGUAGGGCGCAAGCGUUGUCCGGAAUUAUUGGGCGUAAAGAGCUCGUAGGCGGUUUGUCGCGUCUGGUGUGAAAAUCCAGGGCUUAACCCUGACCUGCAUCGGGUACGGGCAGACUAGAGUGCGGUAGGGGAGAUCGGAAUUCCUGGUGUAGCGGUGAAAUGCGCAGAUAUCAGGAGGAACACCGGUGGCGAAGGCGGAUCUCUGGGCCGUAACUGACGCUGAGGAGCGAAAGCAUGGGGAGCGAACAGG